CCUCUGUGUUACUGCAGCUCAGUCUAUUCUAUCUCGCUCUCUUUUUCUCUUUCUCUCUCUCUUUCUCUCUCUCUCUCUGUCUGUUGCCGUAGCGAUCUCCUCUCUCCUUUUCUCUCUCUCUCCCUCUCUCUCUCUGUCUGUUGCCAUAGCGAUCUCCUCUCUCUCCCCGGACCCCGCAGCAUAACCCCCUGCACGGAUAGACCUGGCCUUUAUCGUUAUAAAGAUGAAUCCACCGUGGAAUAUCCAGAGAUGCUAUUAUCCCCACCACGACCCGGCAACACAGACAAUGAGUUCCCAGUCCUGAGGUGAACCCGUCCUCUGUCCUGAGGUGAAUCAGUCCAGAGUUACUGCAGUCCUGAGGGGAAUCAGUCCAGAGUUACUGCAGUCCUGAGGUGAAUCAGUCCAGAGUUACUGCAGUCCUGAGGUGAAUCAGUCCAGAGUUACUGCAGUCCUGAGGUGAAUCAGUCCAGAGUUACUGCAGUCCUGAGGGGAAUCAGUCCAGAGUUACUGCAGUCCUGAGGUGAAUCAGUCCAGAGUUACUGCAGUCCUGAGGUGAAUCAGUCCAGAGUUACUGCAGUCCUGAGGUGA
ensembl:lncRNA